rnacentral:rRNA from 1 species
AGCGAACGCUGGCGGCAGGCUUAACACAUGCAAGUCGAGCGGGCACCUUCGGGUGUCAGCGGCAGACGGGUGAGUAACACGUGGGAACGUACCCUUCGGUUCGGAAUAACGCUGGGAAACUAGCGCUAAUACCGGAUACGCCCUUAUGGGGAAAGGUUUACCGCCGAAGGAUCGGCCCGCGUCUGAUUAGCUAGUUGGUGGGGUAACGGCCUACCAAGGCGACGAUCAGUAGCUGGUCUGAGAGGAUGAUCAGCCACACUGGGACUGAGACACGGCCCAGACUCCUACGGGAGGCAGCAGUGGGGAAUAUUGGACAAUGGGCGCAAGCCUGAUCCAGCCAUGCCGCGUGAGUGAUGAAGGCCUUAGGGUUGUAAAGCUCUUUUGUCCGGGACGAUAAUGACGGUACCGGAAGAAUAAGCCCCGGCUAACUUCGUG